rnacentral:rRNA from 1 species
AUUAGAGUUUGAUCCUGGCUCAGGAUGAACGCUGGCGGUAUGCCUAACACAUGCAAGUCGAACGGGACCUUUCGGGGUUCAGUGGCGGACGGGUGAGUAACGCGUGAGAAUCUGGCCUCAGGUUCGGGACAACCACGGGAAACGGUGGCUAAUACCGAAUGUGCCGAAGGGUGAAAGAUUAAUUGCCUGAGGAUGAGCUCGCGUCUGAUUAGCUAGUUGGUGGGGUAAGGGCCUACCAAGGCAUCGAUCAGUAACUGGUCUGAGAGGAUGAGCAGUCACACUGGGACUGAGACACGGCCCAGACUCCUACGGGAGGCAGCAGUGGGGAAUUUUCCGCAAUGGGCGAAAGCCUGACGGAGAAUACCGCGUGAGGGAGGAAGGCUCUUGGGUUGUAAACCUCUUUUCUCAGGGAAGAAUGAUGACGGUACCUGAGGAAUCAGCAUCGGCUAACUCCGUGCCAGCAGCCGCGGUAAUACGGAGGAUGCAAGCGUUAUCCGGAAUGAUUGGGCGUAAAGCGUCCGCAGGUGGCAGUUCAAGUCUGCUGUCAAAGACUGGGGCUCAACCCUGGAAAGGCAGUGGAAACUGAACAGCUAGAGAGCGGUAGGGGCAGAGGGAAUUCCCAGUGUAGCGGUGAAAUGCGUAGAGAUUGGGAAGAACACCGGUGGCGAAAGCGCUCUGCUAGGCCGCGACUGACACUCAGGGACGAAAGCUAGGGGAGCGAAUGGGAUUAGAUACCCCAGUAGUCCUAGCCGUAAACGUUGGAUACUAGGCGUUGAGAGUAUCGACCCUCUCAGUGUCGGAGCUAACGCGUUAAGUAUCCCGCCUGGGGAGUACGCCGGCAACGGUGAAACUCAAAGGAAUUGACGGGGGCCCGCACAAGCGGCGGAGCAUGUGGCUUAAUUCGAAGCGACGCGAAGAACCUUACCAAGGCUUGACAUGAACGGAAAUCUGGCAGAGAUGUCAGGUCCGCAAGGGCCGUUCACAGGUGGUGCAUGGUUGUCGUCAGCUCGUGUCGUGAGAUGUUGGGUUAAGUCCCGCAACGAGCGCAACCCUCGUCCUAUGUUGCCAGCGGGUAAUGCCGGGGACUCAUAGGAGACUGCCGGGGUCAACUCGGAGGAAGGUGGGGAUGACGUCAAAUCAUCAUGCCCCUUAUGUCUUGGGCUGCACACAUGCUACAAUGGCCGGUACAAAGGGCUGCGAUACCGCGAGGUGGAGCGAAUCCCAAAAAGCCGGUCUCAGUUCGGAUCGGGGUCUGCAACUCGACCCCGUGAAGUCGGAGUCGCUAGUAAUCGCAGAUCAGCAACGCUGCGGUGAAUACGUUCCCGGGCCUUGUACACACCGCCCGUCAAGUCAGGAAAGUUGGUAACGCCCGAAGCCGGUGGCCCAACCCGUAAGGGAGGGAGCCGUCGAAGGCGGGACCAGCGAUUCGGACUAAGUCGUAACAAGGUAACCAAU